rnacentral:rRNA from 1 species
UGCCAGCCGCCGCGGUAACACGGGGGGCGCAAGCGUUAUUCGGAAUUAUUGGGCGUAAAGGGCGCGCAGGCGGUCUUGUCCGUCAGGUGUGAAAGCUCGGGGCUCAACCCCGGAAGUGCACUUGAAACAGCAAGACUUGAAUACGGUAGAGGAGAGAGGAAUUCCUGGUGUAGAGGUGAAAUUCGUAGAUAUCAGGAGGAACACCGAUGGCGAAGGCGGCUCGCUGGCUCGAUACUGACGCUGAGGCGCGAAAGCGUGGGGAGCAAACAGGAUUAGAUA